AUGAUGAUAGAACCAACACCUGACCAUAUGCCGUUGCAGCAUUUGAAAGACAUCACAAACAACUUUUGCAAUGAGAGAAUACUUGGUAGAGGUGGUUUUGGUGUGGUAUAUAAGGGAGUGCUACAAAAUGGAAAAAUGGUUGCAGUGAAGAAGCUUGUGCAGUCAAUGUCAAGCUCACAGGAGCAAUUUGAGAAUGAGGUUAAUCUUCUUAUGAAACUGAAGCACACAAAUAUAGUGCAACUACUAGGCUACUGUUAUGAAACACAGCAUUUACGUAAGCUUCAUGAAGGGAAAUUCAUUUUUGCUUGGAACACUGAGUGUUUGCUUUGCUUGGAGUGUCUGCCUAAGGGAAGUCUUGAUAAAUACAUUUCAGAUGCAUCUUACGGAUUUGAUUGGCCCACACGCCUCCAAAUAAUUGAGGGGAUUUCCUAUGGUCUACAAUACCUCCAUGAGCAAUCCGAUGGUCCCAUUAUUCACUUGGACCUAAAACCGGCAAACAUAUUGCUUGAUGAAAAUAUGAUACCAAAAAUUACAGACUUUGGUCUGUCAAGACUGUUUGAUAAAAAACAAACUAUUCACACCGCAGUGACAACUGGAACGCUAGGCUAUAUGCCGCCAGAAUACCUACGAGGUAUAAUCACACCUAUGUCUGACAUAUUCAGUUUGGGUGUGAUUAUCAUGGAGGUAAUAACAGGGCACAGGGACUACCCAUAUGAUAUUAGAACAUCUUCCAAAGAAUUCAUCGAGCUUGAACUUAAAAAAUGGAGAGAUGUGCUGCAAAUAGAACCGGGGUAUACAUCGCUUGAAAUAGAUUGCCAACAAAUAACAAGAUGCAUCCAGAUAGGUUUAAUAUGCGUGAAUCCUGAGCAGACCAAAAGACCUAUGAAGAAAGUUAUCGAUAUGCUUCAAGGUUUGGAAAGUAUGGAUUGGUACAUUAGCAACGAGGUAACGUCACUUGCAGAAAGUGUAUGA
rnacentral:rRNA from 1 species